rnacentral:rRNA from 1 species
AUGGUCUUAGCUUGCUAAGGCCGAUGGCGACCGGCGCACGGGUGAGUAACACGUAUCCAACCUGCCGUCUACUCUUGGACAGCCUUCUGAAAGGAAGAUUAAUACAAGAUGGCAUCAUGAGUCCGCAUGUUCACAUGAUUAAAGGUGUUCCGGUAGACGAUGGGGAUGCGUUCCAUUAGAUAGUAGGCGGGGUAACGGCCCACCAAGGCUACGAUCGGUAGGGGUUCUGAGAGGAAGGCCCCCACAAUGGGACUGAGACACGGCCCAUACUCC